GACAUGUGAGACGCUGGCUGGUCUCAACAAUUUGGCGAACCAACGCCUGGGAAAGGCAGAGGACAUUUGGAAGAAGCACUGCUGGUUUGGAGCUCCAUGGAAGAAGAAAAGAAUUAAAGAAAAUUCGUACCGGAGAAGAUACUGCUACCUGCUGAGAGGCCUGUCCUGCACGUCAUCACCUGCAGCUGGUUCCAGGCUCCAAGGAUGAAUCGGUGGGAAUGGACCUUCUCCCCUUUUCUUUAUAAGGUUUCCAGUUGAUGAUGUUGCCUAGGGAGACAUGAAUAGCACAGCUGGACCAGCAAGCAGAAGCAGACACAGCUUCAAAUGCAGGAUGAAGCUCCUGAAGGCUCCCAGGGACGGGAUGUACAUGAUGACAUUUGGA
rnacentral:lncRNA from 1 species